GACGAACGCUGGCGGCGUGCUUAACACAUGCAAGUCGAACGGAAAGGCCUGCUUUCCCUUGUGGAUUGCGGGUACUCGAGUGGCGAACGGGUGAGUAACACGUGAGUGAUCUGCCCCCAACUUGGGUAUAAGCCUGGGAAACUGGGUCUAAUUCCCGAUAGGACUGCAGGGUGGUGCCUGUGGUGGAAAACGAUUUUCUAGUGGUUGGGGAUGAGCUCGCGGCCUAUCAGCUUGUUGGUGGGGUAAUGGCCUACCAAGGCGGCGACGGGUAGCCGGCCUGAGAGGGUGGACGGCCACAUUGGGACUGAGAUACGGCCCAGACUCCUACGGGAGGCAGCAGUGGGGAAUAUUGACCAAUGGGCGGAAGCCUGAUGCAGCGACGCCGCGUGGGGGAUGACGGCCUUCGGGUUGUAAACUCCUUUCGACCGCGAGGAAGCCACCUGGUUGGAAGGGUGGUGACGGUAGUGGUAGAAGAAGCACCGGCUAACUACGUG
rnacentral:rRNA from 1 species